GAUCCUGGCUCAGGAUGAACGCUGGCGGCGUGCCUAACACAUGCAAGUCGAGCGAAGCACUUUGCUUAGAUUCUUCGGAUGAAGAGGAUUGUGACUGAGCGGGCGGACGGGUGAGUAACGCGUGGGUAACCUGCCUCAUACAGGGGGAUAACAGUUAGAAAUGACUGCUAAUACCGCAUAAGACCACAGCACCGCAUGGUGCGGGGGUAAAAACUCCGGUGGUAUGAGAUGGACUCG
rnacentral:rRNA from 1 species